UACGUAGGGGGCAAGCGUUGUUCGGAAUUACUGGGCGUAAAGGGCGCGUAGGCGGCACGGCAAGUCAGGAGUGAAAGGCCUGGGCUCAACCGAGGAACUGCUUUUGAGACUGCCGAGCUAGAGUGCGAAAGGGGCAACCGGAAUUCCCAGUGUAGCGGUGAAAUGCGUAGAUAUUGGGAAGAACACCUGAGGCGAAGGCGGGCUGCUGGGCCGACACUGACGCUGAGGCGCGAAAGCCAGGGGAGCAAACGGG
rnacentral:rRNA from 1 species